GACGAACGCUGGCGGCGUGCUUAACACAUGCAAGUCGAACGGUGAAGGGACCAGCUUGCUGGUUCUGGAUGAGUGGCGAACGGGUGAGUAACACGUGAGUAACCUGCCCCCUUCUUCUGGAUAACCGCAUGAAAGUGUGGCUAAUACGGGAUAUUCUGGUUCUGUCGCAUGGCGGGCCCGGGAAAGAUAUUUCUUCGGUGGGUGAUGGGCUCGCGGCCUAUCAGCUUGUUGGUGGGGUGAUGGCCUACCAAGGCGGUGACGGGUAGCCGGCCUGAGAGGGUGGACGGUCACACUGGGACUGAGACACGGCCCAGACUCCUACGGGAGGCAGCAGUGGGGAAUAUUGCACAAUGGGCGCAAGCCUGAUGCAGCGACGCCGCGUGAGGGAUGGAGGCCUUCGGGUUGUAAACCUCUUUCGCCAGUGAAGCAGGCCUGCUCCUUGUGGGUGGGUUGACGGUAGCUGGAUAAGAAGCGCCGGCUAACUACGUG
rnacentral:rRNA from 1 species